rnacentral:rRNA from 1 species
GGUUAAGCGAAUAAGCGUACACGGUGGAUGCCUAGGCAAUCAGAGGCGAUGAAGGACGUGCUAAUCUGCGAUAAGCGUCGGUAAGGUGAUAUGAACCGUUAUACCCGACGAUUUCCGAAUGGGGAAACCCAAUAUCCAAUGGAUAUUAUCAUGACGUGAAUACAUAGCGUCAUGAAGCGAACCGGGAGAACUGAAACAUCUCAGUACCCCGAGGAAAAGAAAUCAACCGAGAUUCCCCUAGUAGCGGCGAGCGAACGGGGAACAGCCCAGAGUCUUAAUCAAUAGCAGCAUCAGGAGAACGGUCUGGAAAGUCCGGCAGUAAAGGGUGAUAGCCCCGUAUCCGAAGAUGCUGUUAUUGUGAACUCGACGAGUAGGGCGGGACACGUGUUAUCCUGUCUGAAUAUGGGGGGACCAUCCUCCAAGGCUAAAUACUCCUGAUUGACCGAUAGUGAACCAGUACCGUGAGGGAAAGGCGAAAAGAACCCCGGCGAGGGGAGUGAAAAAGAACCUGAAACCGUGUACGUACAAGCAGUAGGAGCCUCUUUAUGGGGUGACUGCGUACCUUUUGUAUAAUGGGUCAGCGACUUAUAUUCUGUAGCGAGGUUAACCGUAUAGGGGAGCCGUAGGGAAACCGAGUCUUAACUGGGCGAAUGAGUUGCAGGGUAUAGACCCGAAACCCGGUGAUCUAUCCAUGGGCAGGUUGAAGGUUGGGUAACACUAACUGGAGGACCGAACCGACUAAUGUUGAAAAAUUAGCGGAUGACUUGUGGAUGGGGGUGAAAGGCCAAUCAAACCGGGAGAUAGCUGGUUCUCCCCGAAAGCUAUUUAGGUAGCGCCUCGUGAACUCAUCUUCGGGGGUAGAGCACUGUUUCGACUAGGGGGUCAUCCCGACUUACCAACUCGAUGCAAACUGCGAAUACCGAAGAAUGUUAUCACGGGAGACACACGGCGGGUGCUAACGUCCGUCGUGAAGAGGGAAACAACCCAGACCGCCAGCUAAGGUCCCAAAGUCAUGGUUAAGUGGGAAACGAAGUGGGAAGGCUCAGACAGCCAGGAUGUUGGCUUAGAAGCAGCCAUCAUUUAAAGAAAGCGUAAUAGCUCACUGGUCGAGUCGGCCCGCGCGGAAGAUGUAACGGGGCUAAACCAUGCACCGAAGCUGCGGCAGCGA